UGAUUGUACACAGACAUUUCCUAUCAGCAUAGAGAAAAGUGAAACCCUCCUUCAGUCCUCUACCAAAGAAUAUAUUAUUCCCACAGGAAAAACUCAGAAAGGUGUGUAAAACCCUCAGGAGGAGGUGCAGUUGAUCCAUGAGACUGCUACAACAGAAUAGCGGUAUGCUUGCUUUGAUACCUGACUAAAUGUGACUGGCUGCAACAAGCAUUUCAAAAGAAAGUUUUAGGCAGUGUUUGGUUUAGAAUUCAGGGAUCAUGCAUUCUUUAAUGGUGCUGUUUGUUUUUUUUAUUUCUUCUUUUCUAUAAAGAAUAAAAAGUGUUGCCUACAAAAGUGACUGCUCAUGAUGAUGUAAGUGAAAUGGAACGUCCGUCUCUAUGUUUCUAUGUUUCUCCCUUUCUCCAAGUAAGAAUUUGGUUUCAGUAUCAAAAUAUUCUGGAGAAAAUAAAGAAAUGAAAACACGAAAUACUUGUCGUUUUCAUUUGUGAAUGUUAUUUGGGAAAACAUGCAUAUAGUGUUGAAUUAUCUACUUAUUCUUGGUAUGAGGAACUGUGAACAUAUGAUUGUAACCAUUGUUAACAGGAAAAUCAGCAAUUGAUGGUGUCUGCUGAGCAUACAGUCUACAGCAAUAUUUGGCCCUUGUCACGAGCAUCUUAAUUUCUUACAUCAGAAGCAUUCAUGUAAAUAGAUGGUUCCUGCCAGAAUUAACUUACAUUACAAAAUGAAAGCAAUCUUAAAAGAAUUGUUCUGCUGAAUAUUGUAUCCGAGCUGAAAGAUUGGAGCUGUAGUUAUUUGUAUCCAGUGCUAUGAACAAUUAGAACAAAACUACCCCAGUCAUGUUUAUCAAGGUAGGAAAAUAUGUGUAUCUUUCUGGUCAAAUGAAUCAGAAACCAUUAAAUGUAAUUUGCUGUUCAGUCUGAGUGCAAGGGAAAUUAUGCACGUAGAAAUCGUUGUGUUUCACCACCAGAGGGCGAAAGAGGAUGCUUGCUUUUGGAGCUCGGGUCUAAAUUGCACUUCAUUAUUUUCAGCAACUGUUAAGCCAGUUAACAUAAUUCAUUUUACUUACAAUCAUGGCCCUUUGUAAGUGCUUCUGUUGCAGUGCUCUACAGACCUAAUCUAGUUCAAAAUCCACUAUAUCAAAUUAAACAAACUAUGGGGCUGGAGAGACAACUCAACUGUUCAGAGUCCUCUAUGCUCUUGCAGGGGAACAGGGCCUUUCUUCACCUCUCAGCACCCAUACUGCGUGACUCACAACCACUUGUAACUCAAGUUUCAGCAGACCCAACACAUCUUUUGGUUUCCAAGGGCACAUAAACACACACACACACACACACACACACGCACACACACACACACUUCCUUAGAAAUUGAACUGCUUAUUUCUUAGGUUGAUAUUUAUUUAAAAUGACUUGAAUGUUUACAUAAUUUAACUUAUUCUCAUAAGAUGGAUAUGAAUGCACAGUUUUGUGUAAACAUUCCCUUAUUUUAAUUAUUAAUGGGCCUGAUUUUAGUAACAGUCUUUCUUAGGAUGUCAAUUAUUUGUGUCAAAUCAUGGCCUUUAUCUGUGUCUGGUGGUUCCUCAGUUAUAAUGUGCCUAUAUCACUAUAAUCAAAGGUAAUUAAGACUCCUAGAAGCAUACUCACAGAGUUAGAAAAAUUGCUCAGUGUCUAAGAAAAUUUUGUUCUGCAGAGGACCCAGGUUGAUAACAAGCAAUUAUAAUCAGAACAAAGUGUAAGUUAGAACCAGGGAAUCUCACCCUCACUGGCAUCCACAGGCACUGCACACAUGUGAUCCACAAACACGCAUGAAGGCUAAACAGUUGUACACACAAAAUAUAAAUGCAUUUUUUAAUAAAACAGAUGCACCCUCACUAGGUAUGUGUUUGCUACAAUGAUUUGUGAGCUCUCUUCUAUAUAAAACAAUUGGAUAGAACACGUAGUGGAUGUUUUUCAGUCCACAGAAGUAAUUAGAGUCUUUUUGCCCUAAAUUACUUAGAUCUCAACUUCCAAACACACAGUUAUUCAGAAGGAUUAGAAAAACGAAAAGUUGUGGUCAGCAAAUGUCUAAUGCAGAAACUUAAGGUGAGCAGUGACUGUUAAUUCCACAAAACACUUGUAUCCAAGUUUCUCGUGUAAUUAAAUAUUUGGCCAUUUUACU
rnacentral:lncRNA from 1 species